UUUCGAAUACCUUUGAAUAACUUAAACAAGCUCAUGCAUUGAUCCCAACAAGAAGAUGUUAGAUAUAAAUCAUCAACAUGGUAAGUUCUAUAAAAAUCAACUAAAUAUUCUAUAUGCUCCAAUGUAGAAUGCAACAUAUCAUAUGUAGAGUUCCAUCUAGUAGUGUAACAACCCGAAAAAAAAAGAUCCCAAAAUCAAAAUUUUAAUGUCUGAUGCGUCCAACAAAAGUCUAACAAAAUUUAAUUUAAUACAUCCUUUGUUCUAAAGAAAAUCGGGUACAUCAACGAGAGCAGCUCCGAACUGGAAUUGGAUUUUCCUGCACCAAAUCAAACAAAUAAGCAAAUAAUUUUUUUUUUCUAAAUGAUUAAUCUAAUGCAAGAAAAUAGCAACUAAAUCUGAUGCAGAUCCUUUAGGAUCAAUCUUCUGACAUAUCAUUUAUUACUGCAUUUAAUGAAAGGAGAGAAUUUCAAAUCUACUGACAAAGGAGAAUGAUUAGGAGAGAAUGUUAGCAACUUGCUGCCUUGCUACCUACGCCACUUUCACAGCCAUCUUUUAUACAUAUAGAUACAAUCACUUUCACCACCCUAAUCUCCUCUUUCCAUACCGCCACUCCUCCAUAUUAGUUCAUUCACAAUCAAGUUCCAUCCCCACAAGUUGCUCCACUAAAAUCAGCAAGAAGUUUCAAGAACAUGGCUGAUAUUCUUCUUAUCUCAAUCGAAACAAAUUCAAGAAACUGAGAGCUCAAUCAAUUGAAUUACAGAAACUGAAUCUGCAAAAAUCCAGUGGGCUACUCCUUUCGGUUCUACAAUUUCACAACUAAUAUCGUGUUAUCAAGGGAAUUGUUCUGUGAGACUCCAAUCCGGAAAGAGGAAAUACUCAAGUGCGACACCUUUAAGCGGACGAGGUUGAGCGGUGACGAACGCAGUGGGUGUUGAGCAUAAAAGUAAAGAAGAUGUCUAUGAAAGGUUCAGAAUGUGUUGUGUCUUCAUACAUGACAUUAUUCUACUCUCGAAAUACAUCCGCUGAGCAAUUGUCCUUCUUCUGAGUUCUUGUAUCGUUGAGAUAAUAUUUAUUCUUGAGUUGUUGAUUGUUGAGAUGCUCUGGUUUUAUUCGAACUAUUCUCAUUCGUUUCGAGCUA